rnacentral:snRNA from 1 species
AUACUUACCUGGACGGGGUCUAUGGAUGAUCAAGGAGGUCUAUGGCCUAGGGAAGUGACUUUCAUUGCACAUAGAAAGGGUGUUUCUCUAAAGUCUGUCCAAGUGACAGAGCUUACGUCAUAAUUUGUUGCAGUGGGACCUGCGUUCGCGCGGUCCCUU